CUUACACCUUUUUCACCAACAGUGAAUGGGUUCUGUUCUGAUUCAUGCAUCAAAUUUUGAACCAUUCAGAGUAGUUCAACCAAAUAUACACAAGUUGGUUUGGAACAUGAACAGUGGACUCCCAGCUGAAACCAAAAUAUAACUGUUUUUUUCAGUGUGAACCAGGAUGACAUCAGUGGACGUGUCAUUAGUUUGAAGCAGAGAGCAGCAAUGGAGAACACAAUGGGAAAAGAUACAGCUUCAGAAAAAAAUGGAAUGAAAACAAACAUCUGCAAAAACAGAACUAAAGCACACAGGUUGGGUCACGGUGGCAGCAGGCUAAGCAGGGUAUUCCAGGCGUCUCUCUCCCCAGCAACGCUUUCCAGUUCCUCCUGGGGGAAUCCCAAGGCGCUCCCAGUCCUGAUGAGAUCUAUAAUCUUUCCAGCAUGUUCUGGGUCUACCUUGAGGUCUCGACGUGCCUGGAAAACCACCAAAAGUAGGUGCCCCGGAGGCAUCAGAUGCUGGAAUCACCUCAGCUGACUCCUUUCAACAUGAAGGAACAGAGGCUCUACUCUGAGAUUCCUCCAGAUGUCUGAGCUCCUCACCCUGUCUCUAAGGGUGAGCCCAGCCACCCUACGGAGAAAGCUCAUUUCAACUGCCUGUAUCCGCAAUCUCAUCCUUUCAGUCACGACCCAAAGCUUAUGACCUCUGGUGAGAGUUGGAAUGUAGAUUGACUCGUAAAUCAAAAGCUUUGCCUUUCGGAUUAGCUCCCUCUUCACCACGACAGUCCAAUACAACAUCCACAUUACUACUGACGCCGCCCCAAUCCGCCUGUCCAUCUCACACUCCAUUUUACCAUCACUUGUGAACAAGACCCUGAGAUACUUGAACUCCUUCACUUGGGGCAGCAACUCACUCCCAACCUGGAGGGAGCACUCCACUGUUUUCCAGCAGAGAACCAUGGCCUCAGACUUGGGGGUGCUGACUCUCAAAGAAACAGCAUAACAAAACAAAUAUACAGAAGGCUACAGUGUCCUAGAAAAGAAAGCAACAUCAGAAAGGAGCCAACAUGCAAGCAAAGGGAGACCCUCCCCCCCAUCUUUGAGACAUGCAGGUUUUUAUAACCAACCAAACAGGUGAAGCCAAUUCCCAAACUGAAAGGGAGGGACUAAACCUGGGAUGGACCUAAAGAAAAACACUCCCAGAGAAGAAGAAGAAGAAGCCUUUAUUUGUCACAUGCACACUCAAGCACAGUGAACUUCAUCCUCUGCAUUUAACCCAUCUGAAGCAGUGAACAAAUGCAUGCACACACACAAGUGAGCAAUGAGCACACACACAUACCCAGAGCAGUGGGCAGCUACACUACAGUGCCCAGGGAGCAGUUGGGAGUUAGGUGCCUUGCUCAAGGGCAUUUCAGCCCAACGAUGCCUCAUAUUAACCUAACCACAUGUCUUUGAACACACAGAGAGAGAGAGAGAGAGAGAGAGAGAGAGAGAGAGAUUAUUAGUAAAUAACCAAGGCAUAAGAUCCCCUUCCCAAAAGAGGAAAAACAAAGCAGGCUGACAGAAAGGGGCAGCCCCCCGCCCCAUAAAACAUAGGGUUUCAUAGGGAUUCCUGCAAUACAAGAUAUAAAACAAAGAAAAUCAUUCUAUACCAAACCCCAGAAUUAUCCAGAUCAGCUACCCCGUUUCACCACCUUCCUCACCUCUCAGCAACUGGAUGCUGGAAGCAAAUUAAGAGACAGCACUGUAAAAAAUGAUGUCUUAGCAAGUGAAAAUAUCUUGAAAAUAGUUGAAAUGAUCUAGCAUUUCCUAUUUGAAGAAUACAAGACACUUAUUCUGAGAUUAUUAAACCUUGUUCUAGAUUGCAACCAACUUCUUCUAAGAUGUCUUAUCAAGUAAAAUUAAAGUGAGGCGACAGUGCUAACCACUACACCACCAUGCCACCUGCACUCAACUUAAAUGAGAACUCUUUACUUGCAAAAUUAUUUAUUUGGUUAUUUAUUUACUUUACAGUGUAUUAAACUAACUGAAAAAUGUUUUACAGUGUCUUGUAAAAGUAUGCAUCCCCCUUGGUGUUUUGCUGCAUUACAAGCUGGAAUUAAAAUGGAUUUUUGGA